rnacentral:piRNA from 1 species
AAAGGAGGAUUUAGUAGUAAAUUAA